CUCCUCCCCUUGGAAGGCUCCACUAGUAUGACCAAGAGGAGGUCGUGGGGUCCCAGGGCAGACAGAUGGACACGGAGCCUAACAUCCUGUCUCAUCUCCUCCAGAGAGAGUCCAGGGCAGAACAAGUCUGGAGUGUCCACCAGCACCAGCCAUCUCCCACACAGGUCCCCCUCCCUCCUCUUACUUCUCUGGGUCACUGUGGGCUAUACUCGGCCUUGUCUCAGGAUGCCCUAGGACCACUCCUAGCUGUCCCCAGUCCACCUGGUCGUCAAAAAUACUGGAACUCACUCUAUGGAGGAACUUCCAUGCCCUUUGUCCUCCUCAGUAGAACUGCGGUGCUGAUGUCUAUUGUCUCUCCCCGUUCUAAAACACAACGACCAUUUGUUGGACACAUGACAACCCUUUAUGGGAACACUGACACAUGAAGUUCACUCCCGGUCUGUAGCUCCUGUCCUCGAGCUGACUGUCUUCUUCCUGCAGUAGAACUCUGAAGUUCUGUACUUGGCUGUUUGAGUCCUGCAGGUCCUUUCCCAUCCACUUGUCUCUUACUCUUCUCCACCUCUCUGUGGUGUUUAGUCCCAGGGUGCUUAGCUUAGAAGAUUUGUGGGCACAAUGUUGUUAAACGCUGAGCUGUAGUCAAUGAACAGCAUUCUCUCUUAGGUAUUCAUUUUGUCCAGGUGGGAGAGGGCCAUAUACCACACCCCCUCGGGCCUUAUUGCUUAAUUAUAUCAUAGUGACUUACUAUUAGUGGUUCUAUGUCUCCCGAGCUAUGCUAUCCUCCCUGCAAUAAAACUUAUGUUUGCAUCA